rnacentral:rRNA from 1 species
ACAUGCCUACAACAUAGCAUUAAUGCACCGGAUCCCAUUAUAAAUAUGUAGUUAAGCACGCUCAUGUUAGAGUAUAUAGUACUGGGAUGGGUGACCUCCCGGGAAGUCCUAGUGUUUUACAUGCC